rnacentral:rRNA from 1 species
UGGGGAAUAUUGCACAAUGGGCGAAAGCCUGAUGCAGCGACGCCGCGUGCGGGAUGAAGGCCUUCGGGUUGUAAACCGCUUUUGAUUGGGAGCAAGCGAGAGUGAGUGUACCUUUCGAAUAAGCACCGGCUAACUACGUGCCAGCAGCCGCGGUAAUACGUAGGGUGCAAGCGUUAUCCGGAAUUAUUGGGCGUAAAGAGCUCGUAGGCGGUUUGUCGCGUCUGGUGUGAAAGUCCAUCGCUUAACGGUGGAUCUGCGCCGGGUACGGGCAGGCUAGAGUGCGACAGGGGAGACUGGAAUUCCCGGUGUAACGGUGGAAUGUGUAGAUAUCGGGAAGAACACCAAUGGCGAAGGCAGGUCUCUGGGUCGUCACUGACGCUGAGGAGCGAAAGCGUGGGGAGCGAACAGGAUUAGAUACCCUGGUAGUCCACGCCGUAAACGGUGGAUGCUGGAUGUGGGGCCCCAUUCCACGGGUUCCGUGUCGGAGCUAACGCG